AGUGGCGACCGGGUGAGUAACACGUGACUAACCUACCUUCGAGUGGGGGAUAACCUCGGGAAACCGGGGCUAAUACCGCAUAACAUCUUUGGAGUGGAAAUUCCGGAGAUCAAAGGAGCAAUUCGCUGGAAGAGGGGGUCGCGGCUGAUUAGCUAGUUGGCGGGGUAACGGCCCACCAAGGCUUAGAUCGGUAGCCGGCCUGAGAGGGCGCACGGCCACACUGGAACUGAAACACGGUCCAGACUCCUACGGGAGGCAGCAGUGGGGAAUUUUGCGCAAUGGGGGAAACCCUGACGCAGCAACGCCGCGUGGAGGAUGAAGUCCCUUGGGACGUAAACUCCUUUCGACCCGGACGAUAAUGACGGUACGGGUGGAAGAAGCCCCGGCUAACUUCGUGCCAGCAGCCGCGGUAAUACGAGGGGGGCAAGCGUUGUUCGGAAUUUUUGGGCGUAAAGGGCGCGUAGGCGGUGCGGUAAGUCACCUGUGAAACCUCUAGGCUCAACCUAGAGCCUGCAGGCGA
rnacentral:rRNA from 1 species